rnacentral:rRNA from 1 species
AGCGCAUACGGUGGAUGCCUUGGCAGUCAGAGGCGAUGAAAGACGUGGUAGCCUGCGAAAAGCUUCGGGGAGUCGGCAAACAGACUUUGAUCCGGAGAUCUCUGAAUGGGGGAACCCACCUAGGAUAACCUAGGUAUCUUGUACUGAAUCCAUAGGUGCAAGAGGCGAACCAGGGGAACUGAAACAUCUAAGUACCCUGAGGAAAAGAAAUCAACCGAGAUUCCCUUAGUAGUGGCGAGCGAACGGGGAUUAGCCCUUAAGCUUCAUUGAUUUUAGCGGAACGCUCUGGAAAGUGCGGCCAUAGUGGGUGAUAGCCCCGUACGCGAAAGGAUCUUUGAAGUGAAAUCGAGUAGGACGGAGCACGAGAAACUUUGUCUGAACAUGGGGGGACCAUCCUCCAAGGCUAAAUACUACUGACUGACCGAUAGUGAACCAGUACCGUGAGGGAAAGGCGAAAAGAACCCCGGAGAGGGGAGUGAAAUAGAACCUGAAACCGUAUGCGUACAAGCAGUGGGAGCCUACUUGUUAGGUGACUGCGUACCUUUUGUAUAAUGGGUCAGCGACUUAUAUUCAGUGGCAAGCUUAACCGUAUAGGGUAGGCGUAGCGAAAGCGAGUCUUAAUAGGGCGUUUAGUCGCUGGGUAUAGACCCGAAACCGGGCGAUCUAUCCAUGAGCAGGUUGAAGGUUAGGUAACACUGACUGGAGGACCGAACCCACUCCCGUUGAAAAGGUAGGGGAUGACUUGUGGAUCGGAGUGAAAGGCUAAUCAAGCUCGGAGAUAGCUGGUUCUCCUCGAAAGCUAUUUAGGUAGCGCCUCAUGUAUCACUCUGGGGGGUAGAGCACUGUUUCGGCUAGGGGGUCAUCCCGACUUACCAAACCGAUGCAAACUCCGAAUACCCAGAAGUGCCGAGCAUGGGAGACACACGGCGGGUGCUAACGUCCGUCGUGAAAAGGGAAACAACCCAGACCGCCAGCUAAGGUCCCAAAGUUGUGGUUAAGUGGUAAACGAUGUGGGAAGGCUUAGACAGCUAGGAGGUUGGCUUAGAAGCAGCCAUCCUUUAAAGAAAGCGUAAUAGCUCACUAGUCGAGUCGGCCUGCGCGGAAGAUGUAACGGGGCUCAAACCACACACCGAAGCUGCGGGUGUCACGUAAGUGACGCGGUAGAGGAGCGUUCUGUAAGCCUGUGAAGGUGAGUUGAGAAGCUUGCUGGAGGUAUCAGAAGUGCGAAUGCUGACAUGAGUAACGACAAUGGGUGUGAAAAACACCCACGCCGAAAGACCAAGGGUUCCUGCGCAACGUUAAUCGACGCAGGGUUAGUCGGUUCCUAAGGCGAGGCUGAAAAGCGUAGUCGAUGGGAAACAGGUUAAUAUUCCUGUACUUCUGGUUACUGCGAUGGAGGGACGGAGAAGGCUAGGCCAGCUUGGCGUUGGUUGUCCAAGUUUAAGGUGGUAGGCUGAAAUCUUAGGUAAAUCCGGGGUUUCAAGGCCGAGAGCUGAUGACGAGUCGUCUUUUAGAUGACGAAGUGGUUGAUGCCAUGCUUCCAAGAAAAGCUUCUAAGCUUCAGGUAACCAGGAACCGUACCCCAAACCGACACAGGUGGUCGGGUAGAGAAUACCAAGGCGCUUGAGAGAACUCGGGUGAAGGAACUAGGCAAAAUGGCACCGUAACUUCGGGAGAAGGUGCGCCGGCUAGGGUGAAGGAUUUACUCCGUAAGCUCUGGCUGGUCGAAGAUACCAGGCCGCUGCGACUGUUUAUUAAAAACACAGCACUCUGCAAACACGAAAGUGGACGUAUAGGGUGUGACGCCUGCCCGGUGCCGGAAGGUUAAUUGAUGGGGUUAGCGCAAGCGAAGCUCUUGAUCGAAGCCCCGGUAAACGGCGGCCGUAACUAUAACGGUCCUAAGGUAGCGAAAUUCCUUGUCGGGUAAGUUCCGACCUGCACGAAUGGCGUAACGAUGGCGGCGCUGUCUCCACCCGAGACUCAGUGAAAUUGAAAUCGCUGUGAAGAUGCAGUGUAUCCGCGGCUAGACGGAAAGACCCCGUGAACCUUUACUGUAGCUUUGCACUGGACUUUGAGCCUGCUUGUGUAGGAUAGGUGGGAGGCUUUGAAGCGUGGACGCCAGUUCGCGUGGAGCCAUCCUUGAAAUACCACCCUGGCAUGCUUGAGGUUCUAACUCUGGUCCGUGAUCCGGAUCGAGGACAGUGUAUGGUGGGCAGUUUGACUGGGGCGGUCUCCUCCUAAAGAGUAACGGAGGAGUACGAAGGUGCGCUCAGACCGGUCGGAAAUCGGUCGCAGAGUAUAAAGGCAAAAGCGCGCUUGACUGCGAGACAGACAACGUCGAGCAGGUACGAAAGUAGGUCUUAGUGAUCCGGUGGUUCUGUAUGGAAGGGCCAUCGCUCAACGGAUAAAAGGUACUCCGGGGAUAACAGGCUGAUACCGCCCAAGAGUUCAUAUCGACGGCGGUGUUUGGCACCUCGAUGUCGGCUCAUCACAUCCUGGGGCUGAAGCCGGUCCCAAGGGUAUGGCUGUUCGCCAUUUAAAGUGGUACGCGAGCUGGGUUUAGAACGUCGUGAGACAGUUCGGUCCCUAUCUGCCGUGGACGUUUGAGAUUUGAGAGGGGCUGCUCCUAGUACGAGAGGACCGGAGUGGACGAACCUCUGGUGUUCCGGUUGUCACGCCAGUGGCAUUGCCGGGUAGCUAUGUUCGGAAAAGAUAACCGCUGAAAGCAUCUAAGCGGGAAACUUGCCUCAAGAUGAGAUCUCACUGGGAACUUGAUUCCCCUGAAGGGCCGUCGAAGACUACGACGUUGAUAGGCUGGGUGUGUAAGCGUUGU